rnacentral:rRNA from 1 species
UUCCGGUUGAUCCCGCCGGACCUGACUGCUAUCGGAUUGGUACUAAGCCAUGCGAGUCGUUGUAGCAAUACAAGGCGGACGGCUCAGUAACACGUAGUCAACCUAACCUAUGGACGUGGAUAACCUCGGGAAACUGAGAAUAAACCGCGAUAGAUCAUUAUGCCUGGAAUGGCUUAUGGUUCAAACAAUUUAUUGCCGUAGGAUGGGACUGCGGCCUAUCAGCUUGUUGGUGAGGUAAUGGCCCACCAAGGCUAUAACAGGUACGGGCUCUGAGAGGAGAAGCCCGGAGAUGGGUACUGAGACACGGACCCAGGCCCUAUGGGGCGCAGCAGGCGAGAAACCUUAGCAAUGUGCGAAAGCACGACUAGGUUAAUCCGAGUGAUUUCUGUUGAAGAAAUCUUUUGUCAGUCGUAAAACCACAGACGAAUAAGGGGUGGGCAAGUCUGGUGUCAGCCGCCGCGGUAAUACCAGCACCUCGAGUGGUCAGGAGGUUUAUUGGGCCUAAAGCAUCCGUAGCCGGCUUUGCAAGUCUCCGGUUAAAUCCAGCUGCUCAACAGAUGGGCUGCCGGAGAUACUACAAAGCUAGGGAGCGGGAGAGGUAGACGGUAUUCGGUGGGUAGGGGUAAAAUCCACUGAUCCAUCGAGGACCACCAGUGGCGAAGGCGGUCUACCAGAACGCGUUCGACGGUGAGGGAUGAAAGCUGGGGGAGCAGACCGGAUUAGAUACCCGGGUAGUCCCAGCUGUAAACGAUGCAAACUCGGUGAUGCAUUGGCUUAUGGCCAAUGCAGUGCCGCAGGGAAGCCGUUAAGUUUGCCGCCUGGGAAGUACGGACGCAAGUCUGAAACUUAAAGGAAUUGGCGGGGGAGCACCACAAGGGGUGAAGCCUGCGGUUCAAUUGGAUUCAACGCCGGA